CAGCUCACUGCGCUCCGCCUCCCGGGAUCAUGCCUUUGUCCUGCCUCAGCCUCCCGACUAGCUGGGAAUACAGGCGCCCGCCACUACGCCUGGCUAAUUUUUUGUAUUUUUAGUAGAGACGGGGUUUCACCGCGUUAGCCAGGAUGGUCUCAAUCUCCCGACCUCGUGAUCCGCCUGCCUCGGCCUCCCAAAGUCCUGGAAUUACAGGCAUGAGCCACCGCGCCCUGCCGCUGUUGAGCAUUUUUUGAAGACAGCUGCUCCUGACUCUGCUGAGCUACAGUCCCCUUAUUGACUGACUACCGGACACUCCACUUGGAUGUUCCCAGAAGCACUCCAAAUUCAACUCGCCCUAAACAAAAGCCUCAGGCAGAUCCUUUGGGAAGCGUUCCAGAAGGCACUGUUAUCACAGGAGAUGACAGCCCCACGUGUGUUAUUGCCCUGAAGGUCUUCCAGUGGGACAAGACGCGGAGGAAGAAGAUGGUGAUAUUGGUGGUCCUGACCCUGUGGAGACCUAGGCUAAUGUGUAUGUUUGAGUCUUAGUUUUUAACAAAGAACUUUAAAAGGUAAGGAAGAAAUAAAAAAUUAAAAAAUAGAAAAAAUAUUACAGGAUAAGAAUAUAAAGAAAGAAAAUCUUUUUCAACAACUGUACACUACAUUUGUGUUUUAAGCUGAGUGUUAUUACAAAAGAGUCAAAGAGUUUUUUAAAAAAACCCGAAAAGUGUAUAAAGUAAAAAUGUUAUGGUAACUUAAGGUUAAUUUAUUAUCAAAGAAAGAAAAAACUUUAAAAAAAAAAUUCAGCGUAGCUUAAGUCUACAGGGUUUAUAAAGUCUACAGUAGUGUACAGUCAUGUCUUAGGCCUUCACAUUCACUCAUAAAUGCCAUUGUGUUACAACUGCCUACAGUAUCCAGUACAGUAACAAGCUGUGUAGGUGUGUAGUCUAGGAGCCUAUCGCUCCUGCACACUUGAGUGCUUAAACUAAAAAUAAAAUCCUUGCCCUGGGUGUGACUAUUGUGUAAAUAAAAAUAGUUAAAAUAAAAAUAAAAUCCUAAGUGCCACCACCGACAUAACAGACUCCCUGUGGCCAAGGGGACCCCAGAAAAAUGUUAAAACUGAGUUCCUGGUCAUGAUGGGAUGGGAAGUCAGACACACCUCGCUAUACCACCCUCGCUUUUAUGAUUUAGACACAACAACUGACCAGGAUUAGUGUUAAAAUAGAGAUCACAAGACUGACAGAACAGAAUUUGUGGCAGUAAGAUGAAUUCUAAACAGGACCUAAGGCCAUGCGAGGCAAGGGUAAAGUCACACACCCCUACACCUAAGGAAUAAACUAUGCUCCAGCUGCCCCAAGGUUUUUCUUUUUCUCUAAAAAUAAACAAGCACUGGCCUCGAGAAAAGCAGUAUUAAAACAAUCUGCUCACCCCCAGAGUCUGACUAACUGACCCCCCUUCCAC
rnacentral:lncRNA from 10 species